CCCUUAGAUGUUCUGGGCCGCACGCGCGCUACACUGACGAAUGCAACGAGCUUAUAACCUUGGCCGAAAGGUCUGGGUAAUCUCCAAAUUUCGUCGUGAUGGGGAUAGAUUAUGCAAUUAUUAAUCUUCAACGAGGAAUGCCUAGUAAGCGCAAGUCAUCAGCUUGCGUUGAUUACGUCCCUGCCCUUUGUACACACCGCCCGUCGCUCCUACCGAUUGAAUGGUCCGGUGAAGCGUUCGGACCGUGGCCUUUGGACGGUUCGCCGUCUGUUGGCUGCGGGAAGUUCGUUAAACCUUAUCAUUUAGAGGAAGGAGAAGUCGUAACA
rnacentral:rRNA from 1 species